rnacentral:misc_RNA from 1 species
GUUUCGUACAGGUUACCUUUGGAGAAAAAUUGUCUCAAUUUUUUCUCAUUACGACUUUUGUUAACCUAGAUUCUUUUUAUGGCCUGCUAGUAAUGUCUUCUUGUGACAUUAAUUAAGUAAACAAAUUCAACUUCAAGACUCGACAAGAAUUGUAAAGGUUACAAGACCUGUGGUGUUUAUCUAGAAGUGCUGAGUGUAAUAAAAGCAAUGUUAGGCGAGUGACUUAAGUGAAGAAAGAAUGAAUUUGUUUGAACUAAAAACAAUGUAGUUUGCUGAAAAAUGGAACUAAAUGUUGAAGUAGAGAAUGACGAUUUACCGCCCCCUCCUGAGCAUGAGCUGGAUAGGUUUGGUCCCCCCGUUCUAACACCGGGCGGUGAAGGCGAUGCCGCCGAACGAGGAGGCGAUUAUGUGGAUUAUUUCAUGCCCUCAAACACACUAAAGAAAAGCCUUAGAGGUGAAAAGCUGUAUGUAAACAAAGCCAACACUGAGAGAAGAAUCUGGAAAAAAGUGAUUUGUUGGACGUUUACCCUUCUACUGCUAGCUGGAGCAGUCACUGUAGCAGUUCUUAUAGGAGCUGGAUAUAUUGACCCUUCUAUGAAUAAAAGUGUGAAGGUUGGAAGAAAACUUGAAGGAAACUACUCAAGAGGGUCCCAACUAUAUUCUUGGGAAAGAUCAAAUAUAUCCAGUAUUCUAUCUUCUGAUCCAUUCUUCCUUCUAGACGCAGCUGAUCAAGAUUCACCUAAUGCAUCAGUGGAGAAUGCACUUGGAUUAACCCUGCGUAUUGAAAAUAUGGAAUUCAACGACGACCUUCUAAACCAGGACUCAGAACUAUAUAAUGUAGUUAAGGGUAAUGUUGUGAGUGGGCUACAGUCUUUACUACUGAAAGAAACUGGACGAAAUAUCACCGUAGAUAUUAUUCGGUUCAGCCCAGGCAGCAUUAUAGUCAGCUAUAUCCUUUCCUGGCCUGCUGGCACAUCUAAACUUCAAGCUGAUGAUAUUGAGAGUUUGUUGGAUGACAGAUUAGAAGCAAACAGUGGGAAACUUUUUGCUCAGUUUGUUGUGGAUCAAACAUCUGUUAGAACAAGUCGUGUGUUCAAUAAGUGUUUAAUUAUGAACUGUUCAGACGGUUGUAUGUUUGAACACGUUGGAACACAGUUUCUAUGUACAUGUCCACCUAAUAUGGAACUGGCAGAUUUGUACAGCUGUGUACCAAAACUGUACAUGACUGAUCCAGUCAAAUCUGAGCUCUCUGAUAUUGAGUACGGAAUCAAAACUCUGGAAUCAAAAAUCAAGUCAAUCCCAAACUCUGAAAAUCCUCCGAAUGGAAUUUUAAAAAUCCUCGAAACCAUUCCAAUCGUUAACACCACCAUGGCGGAGCUUAUUGCGGACUCCGCUAGGUAUGAGUCGAACAAGGACACAAACAAAAUAAUGGAUCUGAACGGUGACACUUUACGUGAUAUUAGUAGUUUUCCAGACAGCGAUAGAACACAAGAGUCAACUACUCCUACCGUUGAGGAUGUAAGUGGCUCUGAUAAAGAAUUCAUCCGAAAGAAUUUAUCCCUAGCUGCCAGCGACCAGACCACAGGAUCGAAUAUGAACGAUAUUUCAACUGAUAGUAAUGGUGUUGAAGAUUUAGCUCUAGUUGAAACUAAACCUGGACCAAAAACAUCUCAACUUGAAGCUGAACCUGGAGUGAAUAUCUCUUUAGCUGAACCUGAACCUGGAGUAGAGUUUAAUGAUAGUAAACCCAAGACAAUGAACCCCAGUGCUAGCUGGGAGCCGGAGUUAAAUAUUGAAACCAGAGAGAAUAUAAUAAUAAAUACAGAUCAAAUUCAACUGGAGGGAACUAGGGAAUGGACAGAAACCAGCACUUUUAUACAGAAUUCUACAGAAUCAGAAACAUAUAUUGAAGAUAUUACAGCUGAUGUAACAUCAUCAUAUGACGAUAUUGAAUCAAUGUCAGACAUGCCUGGAAUAGAAACUGUAACAAUGUUACCAAAGAAAGAAGACACAGAAGAUGAAACUGAAACUACAAUCAUACCAGAAGAUGAAACUGAAACUACAAUAAUACCAGAAAAUGAAUCUGAAACUACAAUAAUACCAGAAGAGGAAACUGAAACUACAAUAAUACCAGAAAAUGAAUCUGAAACUACAAAAAUACCAGAAGAUGAAACUGAAACUACAAUAAUACCAGAAGAUGAAACUGAAACUACAAUAAUACCAGAAGAUGAAACUGAAACUACAAAAAUACCAGAAGAUGAAUCUGAAACUACAAUAAUACCAGAAGAUGAAACUGAAACUACAAUAAUACCAGAAGAUGAAACUGAAACUACAAAAUUACCAGAAGAUGAAUUAGCAACUACAAUAAUACCAGAAGAUGAAAUUGAAACUACAAAAAUACCAGAAGAUAAAACAGAAACUACAAUAAUACCAGAAGAUAAAACUGAAACUACAAUAAUGCCUAUAAAUGAAAUGGAAGGUAGAGCAAUGAUAAAAAACAUUGAAGAUGAAUUUUUAAUGUUGUCAAAAAAUGACGUUGAAACAUCCACCAAUAUGCCAAAUAUAGAUUACCAAACUUCAACAACAGAUAUGAUUGCCUCUGACGCAUUAAACUUAAAGGAAAUUACCAUUUCACCCAUUGAUGACAUGUCAACUGUAACACCAUUACCAAAGGAUGAAAUAGAAACAGCUGGAGUGCCAAUGGAACUGAUCAAAAUGUUACCAAUUACAGAAAAAAUAAUGGAAGUUAUGGAAACUACGCUAAACCCAAUGGACAAAAUAGAAACAACUUUCUUAUCAAUAGAUGUUAGUCAAACUACCAUAAUGCCAACAGAAGAAAUGGAAAGUUCAUCUAUUAAAAUUAUAGAGAAAAAAGAAGAAAAUUUACAAAUAUACAACCAAGAACCUAGAAUAUCUCUAUUGGAUGAAAACCCCGCUGUGAACAAGAUAUCUGAAAUAUUUGAAUCAAAGAACCUUGAACUUAGUCAGGGUUUGGCAGAAGAAACAACAACAAUAGCAGCCUCAGCUAAAAUUAACUUAGAAGCAUUGGAAACAACUUCUGCUGCUGCUGAAGUAGAUUCAGAAGAUCUCUUACUCAUAGAAAAGGAGGUAUCUGAAAAUUUAACAACUUCUGAUUAUCUGGAGUCGGCUGUUGCAGCUGUUGAUAUUGAUUCAACAACACUACCAUCCAUUUUAAACAAAUCAGGACAAACAGGACAAGUUACAACGGUUAGUUCAUCCCCGGAGAUGUCAGUUGUUCCUCUUCUAGGAGAUGAUAAUAACGCAACAGAUAACUAUUCAGGAGAGGGAAGAAGUUUGGAGACAAAUGAAUUUAACACAAUUCAAGGUCUUCGUGAUAAAAUUAAAGAGAAAGCUGAGGAAACAUUUUCUUUUAUAGAAUCAGCUAAUCCUACAACUCUGCCAACCUCAACCUUAGAUUAUCUUACCUCUAAAGAUACUAGUACUAAAAAUGAAGUAACGACUGCUCCUGAUAACUCUGCUGAAGUGAAUGUAGUUCUUGUGAACCCUGAGACAGAUGAAAAGUGUUCCCUAACCUGCUCUGGGUUAUGUAUAGACCAGGAGCAGAUAUGUGAUGGAUUACUGGACUGUAAACUAGGAGAAGACGAGCUCAACUGCCAGCUAAGACAAUGUGAAAAUGAUGAAUUUAAAUGUGUCGAAGGUUUGUGUAUACCCCUGAACCGGACGUGUGAUGGUAGGAUGGACUGUAUAGGAGGAGAAGACGAAUUUAAGUGCUCGGACGAGUGCAGUUCAGAUCAAUUCCGUUGCAGUGAGGGUAGAUGUGUAGAAAACAGUUUAAGAUGUGAUGGUUCACAGGACUGCUCAGACGGACAGGACGAGGUCGGUUGUGAGUGCGGUGAAGGUAUGUUCAGCUGUAUGUACGGCGGAGGUUGUGUACCCGUACAUCAAGUUUGUGACGGUACAGUACAGUGCCCGGAUAGGUCUGAUGAGUGGAAUUGUUUACAAUUGUACAAUACUACAACUUUACAAAUACGAACUGAGUCUGGUUGGACAGAUAUUUGUGCUGAUAGAUGGACAGAACACCACAGUAACACAGCUUGCAACCAGCUAGGUUUUGAAUCAGUAGAGCGCACUGAGACAAAAAGGAUAUUAUCAGAAAAUCAGAACCUGUGGUUUGUGGUGCAAGGAUCAGGUGAGCUGCUCCAAGGUUUAGGAGGCGUACUGGGGACAGGAGAAUGUGUAUCUGGAGCUAGAGUGGAGCUGUUUUGUAAACAAACAGAAUGUGGAGUAUGGAAGCUUGCUGAUGAUCUUGUAUCUGGACUAGCUGCAGGCAACCAGGUGGUAGAGGCUGGACUACAGUGGCCCUCCCUAGCACUUAUAUUCAAUGUCAAGGAAAAGACGACGUGUACAGUUUCAAUCUUAAAUCCGUUAUGGAUGGUUACAUCACUAUCUUGCAUUAAAGAAAGGUCCCUAGAUCCCCUUGAAUGGGUAGUUUUCGGUGGUCCCUCUGGUUCUACAGGUGUAGAAGGAGGUCCAGGGACCCAGAUUAAGACUGUGAAAAAUAUUCUUCCCCAUCCUUCAGCCAGGGGAAACAAGUAUACUCUAGAAAAUAAUAUUGCUCUGAUACAAUUACAGGAACCAUUGUUGAUUAGUGAGGAGGUGACACCAAUCUGCCUCAGUCAGGAGAAUAUUAAACCAAGACAAUUGUGUGUAUCGGCUGGUUGGGCUCAAGGUGGUAGCCUUGGGGUCAGCUUUAACCAGUAUCUUAACUACUUACCAGUACCAGAGGUUCCAAAAAGUAGGUGUAACUCAACAGCUGCUUACAAUGGACAGUUAUCACUGAAUACUAUCUGUUCACUUGACAGCGGAGACUCAACUGACUGUGAGGGAGAUGAAGGAAGUGCCUUGAUGUGCAUAACAGAAUCUGGAGUUUGGGAGCUCAAUGGUGUACUGAGCACUAGGGGACAAUGCAGAGAUGAUAUCCGUCCUUCUCUGUAUACCAGUAUACCUGGAGUUAAACAUUGGAUACAAAAUACCAUUGGAACAAUAUAGAAAUGUUUGUUUCCUCAAAAGAAAACUAAAAUAUGAUGAAUAAACUUUGUAUGUCAAACCUGUGAAUUCAGACAGUUUAUCUCUAUUACUCCCAACGGUUCAACCAAGGAUGUUAAAUACCUUUUUUUGAGGGAUUGACAGCAUUUUUCGGAUUUAUGACAUUAACCCCUCAAUUUAAAAGUUUGGAUAGUAUACAGUGUAUAUACGAUGCCGACUGCAAAUGCUCGCCUCUGUGUUUAACUAAAUCUAUUUCUACAUACAGAAUAGUAAAAACAUGAGAUUAAUUUAUCAUUUAAACUCUUAUAUUGUCUUCCAUUAUCAUAUACAUGUCCAUUAAACCUGUACCCCAUAGUAAUCUAUGUAAAUAAACUAAUUAAUGGCUACCUUAAGUUAGUUAACAUAUGAUUAAAAUAAAAUUUAAUUUUAAAAAAACUA